GUGCUCGCUUCGGCAGCACAUAUACUAAAAUUGGAACAAUACAGAGAAAAUUAGCAUGGCCCCUGUGCAAGGA
rnacentral:snRNA from 1 species